GAUGAAGAACGUAGCGAAAUGCGAUAAGUAAUGUGAAUUGCAGAAUUCAGUGAAUCAUCGAAUCUUUGAACGCACAUUGCGCCCGCCAGUAUUCUGGCGGGCAUGCCUGUUCGAGCGUCAUUUCAACCAUCAAGCCCCCGGCUUGUGUUGGGGACCUGCGGCUGCCGCAGGCCCUGAAAACCAGUGGCGGGCUCGCUGUCACACCGAGCGUAGUAGAUUUUCAUCUCGCUCAGGGCGUGCUGCGGGUUCCGGCCGUAAAAAGCCUUAUUUACACAAGGUUGACCUCGGAUCAGGUAGGAAGACCCGCUGAACUUAAGCAUAUCAAUAAGCGGAGGA
rnacentral:misc_RNA from 1 species